ensembl:snoRNA SNORA70 Small nucleolar RNA SNORA70
CUGCAACCAGUUAAGCCAACCAAGUUCCUUUUCUCAUGGAGGCCCAGUGUGCAAACAGCAGUUUUCUUGGUAAUAUACACAGCCAAUUUUGUGGAUGGGCUACUCUAAGGGACCUUGGAGACAACC